rnacentral:rRNA from 1 species
UAUCAAUAAGCGGAGCAAAAGGGUCCCUGCAUAGCACUAGGCGGAACACAGAGGGCUCCCUGCCUUUAAUUAGCCGGNCCCACUAUGGUUCCUUGGAUACANGAAGUCAUAAACGGUGAGAAUCCGGGGCGAUGGGGUGUCCAUUCUUUGUAAGUUUCCUUCGACGAGUCGAGUUGUUUGGGAAUGCCGCUCUAAGUGGGUGGUAAAUUCCAUCUAANGCUAAAUAUUGGCCGAGAGAACGAUACCGAACAAGUACAGUGAUGGAAAGAUGAAAAGAACUUUGAAAAGAGAGUGAAAAAGUACGUGAAAUUGUUGAAAGGGAAGGGUAUUUGAUCAGACUUGGUAUUAAAAUAUGGCAGCUCUCGGGUUGUCCUCUAUUCUUUUACUGGGCCAGCAUCGGUUCGGAUGGCAAGAUAAUUACGUUUGAAUGUGGCUCCUCGGAAUGUUAUAGCUUUCGAUAGAUAUUGCCUGUCUGGACCGGAGGACUGCCUCCUUUCGCACUAGGGAUGCCGGCGUAAUGAUUAAAUACC